rnacentral:lncRNA from 1 species
UAUGUAAAUCUGAUUAUGUUGGGGGUUGAUUUUGGUAGAAAGGGUGCCGUAGUGGCAAAGUACGGUGACAAGAGUGUAUACUUUGAUUUGGAGGAUUUGGGGAACACUACUGGGCAGUGGGAUUUGUACGGAUCCGAUGCACCUUCACCUUAUAACCCUUUUCAGGUACGUUUCAAACAAUAAUAAGUAGUAUGUUAUAAAUGAUGUGUGUAUAUUAUCAUUUAAUAAAAUUUUUUUUUAUUGAUGACUGAAUAAAUUUUUUUUUUUUUUUUUUUUUUUUUUUUUAUAAAAAAGGUAAUUCUCUUCCCUUUCAAGUAUAUGCAUAUUUAACUAAAAUAAUUUUUUAAAAAAAUAUAUAUAUAUAUAUAUAUUGAAUUAAUUGUAUGAUUAUUUUUACAAAUUGUUAUGGUUUUAAGAUAUAAUAAAAAAAGAUUAAUAAUUAAUGAGAAUAAUUUUGAUUUGUUAAACGCAGAGCAAAUUCUUUGAGACAUUUGCUGCACCAUUCACCAAAAGAGGAUUAUUACUCAAGUUCUUGUUACUGGGAGGAGGUUCAGUUCUUGCUUACGUAAGCGCCAAUGCUACUGGAGAUGUCCUACCUAUCAAGAAGGGCCCACAACUUCCUCCCAAGAAGGGCCCACGUGGCAAGAUCUAAUUUCCCC